GCCUAGUUAGCUUGGUUGGUAGAGCGUCCGUCUUAUAAGGGCUAGGUCGCGGGUUCGAUUCCCACCCGAGGCA
rnacentral:tRNA from 1 species